ACCUAACCAGUCCAACAUGCUCUCUUUUUUUUAAAAAAAAUUGGUAUUUACACACCUCCUGUCCUACCUUUGCGAAGUAGGAACCAUAUAUGUUUAUAUACCAGUUAUCAUUUUUGCAGAAGUGCCCUUUUGAUUACCACUUUCUUUUAUAAACGAUGGUGACCAAACAUCGCAUCAACAAAUACGACCUAUAACCUAAGUAUUUCAUGUUAGUCCAUUGCAACCUGUCCGAAGAAUAAAAAUAGCCAACCAGCUUCAGCAGCAAUGGAUAUACAUAUUACGCAGCUGGCUGAUGAGUGAUGACUUCACAAAAGUAAAACAUGAAAGCGUUAUUUAUUAAUGUGACUUUCAUGGUCAAUAUUUUGAUCUUCUAAGUCUUUUCAAGUGUGGUGGAUUUCCUCCUCAAGCUACUUAUUUUUGGGGGAUUACGUGGAUUGGGUCAACCAGAGUCUAGAGACAGUAUGCCUUCUCCUUGCAUAUAAAAUAAAGUAUCCUAGAAUUUUUUUUCUCGAGGGGAAACCAUGACUGUGUUUCAACUAACCAUAAAUAUGGAUUUUGUGAUGAGUGUAAGAGAAGAUUCAAUGUUAGGUUAUGGAAGGUCUUCCAAGAUUGC